rnacentral:rRNA from 1 species
UACGUAGGGGGCAAGCGUUGUCCGGAAUCAUUGGGCGUAAAGAGCUCGUAGGCGGUCUGUCACGUCGGCUGUGAAAACCCGAGGCUCAACCUCGGGCCUGCAGUCGAUACGGGCAAACUAGAGUACUGCAGGGGAGACUGGAAUUCCUGGUGUAGCGGUGAAAUGCGCAGAUAUCAGGAGGAACACCGGUGGCGAAGGCGGGUCUCUGGGCAGUAACUGACGCUGAGGAGCGAAAGCGUGGGGAGCGAACAGG